GACGAACGCUGGCGGCAUGCCUUACACAUGCAAGUCGAACGGCAGCACGGAGCUUGCUCUGGUGGCGAGUGGCGAACGGGUGAGUAAUAUAUCGGAACGUACCCAAGAGUGGGGGAUAACGUAGCGAAAGUUACGCUAAUACCGCAUACGAUCUAAGGAUGAAAGCAGGGGACCUUCGGGCCUUGUGCUCCUGGAGCGGCCGAUAUCUGAUUAGCUAGUUGGUGAGGUAAAGGCUCACCAAGGCAUCGAUCAGUAGCUGGUCUGAGAGGACGACCAGCCACACUGGAACUGGGACACGGUCCAGACUCCUACGGGAGGCAGCAGUGGGGAAUUUUGGACAAUGGGGGCAACCCUGAUCCAGCAAUGCCGCGUGAGUGAAGAAGGCCUUCGGGUUGUAAAGCUCUUUUGUCAGGGAAGAAACGGUGAAGGCUAAUAUCCUUUGCUAAUGACGGUACCUGAAGAAUAAGCACCGGCUAACUACGUGCCAGCCGCCGCCGUAA
rnacentral:rRNA from 1 species